CUUUACAACAAACAAAUUCCAAAUUUUUAAUUUGACAAUCAGCGAGGCCCUUGCGCAACAACUUACCACGUUUAGCGAUGCCUUCAAAAAGCACCCAUUGUGGACAAGAGAGAGGAUAGAAAGAAUUAUUACCAACAGUCAAGCUUUUCAACUUUCUUAAGCCUUGCAUCAACUCUUUCGAUCCAAAUAAAAAUGAUUCUACUUUACUAACCAUCAAGAAGUUUGCUGCGCUAAAACCUCUACCUAAUUCAACCUUUCUGCAUCCUUGGAUU
rnacentral:misc_RNA from 1 species